GAUGAACGCUGGCGGCGUGCCUAAUACAUGCAAGUCGAGCGAACAGACGAGGAGCUUGCUCCUCUGACGUUAGCGGCGGACGGGUGAGUAACACGUGGAUAACCUACCUAUAAGACUGGGAUAACUUCGGGAAACCGGAGCUAAUACCGGAUAAUAUAUUGAACCGCAUGGUUCAAUAGUGAAAGACGGUUUUGCUGUCACUUAUAGAUGGAUCCGCGCCGCAUUAGCUAGUUGGUAAGGUAACGGCUUACCAAGGCAACGAUGCGUAGCCGACCUGAGAGAGUGAUCGGCCACACUGGAACGGAGAAACGGUCCAGACUCCUACGGGAGGCAGCAGUAGGGAAUCUUCCGCAAUGGGCGAAAGCCUGACGGAGCAACGCGGCGUGAGGGAUGAAGGGCUUCGGAUCGUAAAACUCUGUUAUGAGGGAAGAACAAAUGUGUAAGUAACUAUGCACGUCUUGACGGUACCUAAUCAGAAAGCCACGGCUAACUACGU
rnacentral:rRNA from 1 species